UGGAGGUCUGAGAAGGUUACACAGCUUGUUGUGCUGUUGUUACCGGUUUUUACCUCCAAAAUUAACACACAGACACACAAUGUCGUCAUUCUAAUAAAGUUAAAAUUGAUGUGUGUGUUUG